GAAUAUUGGACAAUGGGGGCAACCCUGAUCCAGCCAUGCCGCGUGUGUGAAGAAGGCCUUUUGGUUGUAAAGCACUUUAAGCAGUGAAGAAGACUCCAUGGUUAAUACCCAUGGACGAUGACAUUAGCUGCAGAAUAAGCACCGGCUAACUACGUGCCAGCAGCCGCGGUAAUACGUAGGGUGCAAGCGUUAAUCGGAAUUACUGGGCGUAAAGCGUGCGCAGGCGGUUCGGCAAGAAGGAUGUGAAAUCCCAGGGCUUAACCUUGGAACUGCAUCUGAUACUGUUAGGCUAGAAUAGGUGAGAGGAAGGUAGAAUUCCAGGUGUAGCGGUGAAAUGCGUAGAGAUCUGGAGGAAUACCGAUGGCGAAGGCAGCCUUCUGGCAUCAUAUUGACACUGAGGUUCGAAAGCGUGGGUAGCAAAC
rnacentral:rRNA from 1 species